rnacentral:misc_RNA from 1 species
AACUUUCGACAACGGAUGACUUGGCUCUCGCAUCGAUGAAGAACGCAGCGAAAUGCGAUAAGUAAUGUGAAUUGCAGAAUUCAGUGAAUCAUCGAAUCUUUGAACGCACCUUGCGCUCCUUGGUAUUCCGAGGAGCAUGCCUGUUUGAGUGUCAUUAAAUUCUCAACCUUAUCAGUUUAUUUCUGAUAGUGGCUUGGAUGUGGGGGUUUUUCUUGCUGGCUCCUUCAUCGAGGUCAGCUCCCCUUAAAUGCAUUAGCUGGUGCCCUGUGUGGACUGUCGUCUAUUGGUGUGAUAAUUAUCGACGCCAUGGAUGUCUGCUAUUAGCACUGCUUCUAACCGUCUGUUAAUUCGGACAAUACAUGACAAUUUGACCUCAAAUCAGGUAGGACUACCCGCUGAACUUAAGCAUAUCAAUAAGCGGAGGCU